rnacentral:rRNA from 1 species
GGCGGCGUGCUUAACACAUGCAAGUCGAACGGGAUCCAUCAAGCUUGCUUGGUGGUGAGAGUGGCGAACGGGUGAGUAAUGCGUGACCAACCUGCCCUGUACUCUGGAAUAGCUCCUGGAAACGGGUGGUAAUGCCGGAUGCUCCACAUGGGUGCAUGCCUGUGUGGGAAAGGGUUUACCGGUAUGGGAUGGGGUCGCGUCCUAUCAGCUUGACGGCGGGGUAAUGGCCCACCGUGGCUUUGACGGGUAGCCGGCCUGAGAGGGCGACCGGCCACAUUGGGACUGAGAUACGGCCCAGACUCCUACGGGAGGCAGCAGUGGGGAAUAUUGCACAAUGGGGGGAACCCUGAUGCAGCGACGCCGCGUGCGGGAUGACGGCCUUCGGGUUGUAAACCGCUUUUGAUUGGGGGCAAGCGUUAAGUGAGUGUACCUUUCGAAUAAGCGCCGGCUAACUACGUGCCAGCAGCCGCGGUAAUACGUAGGGCGCAAGCGUUGUCCGGAAUUAUUGGGCGUAAAGGGCUCGUAGGCGGCUCGUCGCGUCUGGUGUGAAAGUCCAUCGCUUAACGGUGGAUCUGCGCCGGGUACGGGCGGGCUGGAGUGCGGUAGGGGAGACUGGAAUUCCCGGUGUAACGGUGGAAUGUGUAGAUAUCGGGAGGAACACCAAUGGCGAAGGCAGGUCUCUGGGCCGUUACUGACGCUGAGGAGCGAAAGCGUGGGGAGCGAACAGGAUUAGAUACCCUGGUAGUCCACGCCGUAAACGGUGGACGCUGGAUGUGGGGCCCAUUCCACGGGUUCCGUGUCGGAGCUAACGCGUUAAGCGUCCCGCCUGGGGAGUACGGCCGCAAGGCUAAACUCAAAGAAAUUGACGGGGGCCCGCACAAGCGGCGGAGCAUGCGGAUUAAUUCGAUGCAACGCGAAGAACCUUACCUGGGCUUGACAUGUUCCCGGCGACAUCAGAGAUGGUGUUUCCCUUCGGGGCGGGUUCACAGGUGGUGCAUGGUCGUCGUCAGCUCGUGUCGUGAGAUGUUGGGUUAAGUCCCGCAACGAGCGCAACCCUCGCCCCGUGUUGCCAGCACGUCAUGGUGGGAACUCACGGGGGACCGCCGGGGUUAACUCGGAGGAAGGUGGGGAUG